CCCCUAAUAAUUUUUAUCUCUACCUUCUGUUACUGGCAUUAUUAUUUAUCAGCUUUUUUCUCAACACCGCACGUCAUCCCAUUUCUUCUAGUGCAAUUAUUUUACUAGUUUCAAACGUCCAGUAUAGGUGAGUUUCGUCAGUUUUCACAGUCAUUCCAAAAUAUAAUUCAUCGCCAGUUUGUUCACAUAUGAUAUCCUCAAUUUGGUCUAUCUCAGGAAUAUUGGGGUUCAAAGUUUUUCUCUGUUCCAGAGCUUCUUCAAGUUUAUAUAGUGCACCAUUUUGAAAAACUGAGAAGGAAUGUCCAUUUUUUGUGAUUAGUGUGUGUAUUGGUUUAAUAAACUUAUAUUUCUUCACCUUAUCCAAAUUUAUCAUCUUCUUUAUCCCACAUUCGGAUGAAAGAUUUAUUGAAAACUGCAACGUAUUUAGCUGAAACAUUAUCAUAAAUGACAGAAGAACUGAAUUUGUCUUUGAUUCGCCAACAUGAAAGCUGUUUCUGGCCGGAAACCUUAUAUCUAAUUGCAAUAUUUUUUCCUAAUGUAGUGAUAACUGUCCCUUUUUGUGAGAGAUGAGUAUAAAUUGGCCGGAUGUCUUUUCCAUAUAUUGGAAAACCUUUCUAUGUUGCUACACAGAGAUUACUCUAAGGCGUCGAGGAGUCUGUUGUUACAUUAAAAUUAAACGAUCCGAAAUAUGUGUUAUUUUCAAAACUUCAAUGCAUAUUAAACAAAACUGAAAAUUUCUUUUUCUUCUGCAUUUGAGUCUAAUCGUGAUUAUCCAAGAAUUGUUUAAAAGCCGAAAAAAUGCUCGAUAUAGGUGUUUCAUAUUUAUCGUACAAUAAUUUAAAAAAUACACUUCAAAGUGAGAUUUACACUUGACACUUUACAAAACCGCAACAGGUGUUUCGCUAUACAAUGGCAUCUUCAGGCAAUGUUAUAAUGGAUUUUCAGCAAGUAUGUAGCAUAAAUAUAAAAGUAUUGUUAAAAUGUAUUUAAAUAAUUGAGAUGUUUUGAAGGAAACAAGAUUUUUUGUAGAAUACGAAAUGCCUGUAAAAUAACGAACAAAUCCAUAAAUUCGCCCUGCUCAUGUGAAUCUCAAAAUCGAUUCCUCAAAGAACGUAUUUUUAAGUUGAAUGUUUAUUUUAAAGUUACACGCGAUACAAGAGUAGUAUUUAAGUUUAACUGUUUUUUUUUUUACUUCAUUUACUAGAAAUUUUGAGAAACAGCUGCUCAAGUCAUGCUCAGUUAGAUAAUUUCGUUUCGCGUGGUGUUUAUAGUCUUCGAUGUCUUAAUUUCACAGAUUUAAUCUGGGGGUUGUUACAAAACGAAAAUGCCGAUUCAAUUUUGUUGUGGAACAGAAAAAAUAGCAAAAGUUGUCGAAGCCAUUUUCAAGAACGGGAAAAUAUGGCUAUGCCGAGGUCUCAAUCUUCCUACUCCUAGUAAUGACACACUUUAAGGGUUCCGUGACUCGACGCCAGGGUCUCAAUCUGUCCUCUCCUCGGUUAUUGUCACUGUUUGUCGGUAGGCAUGUGGUAUGCGAAUUGAUCAAAAGAACUAGCUAGACAUGCACCGUUGCCACAUAAUGAAGUGUCGUAUUGAAGAUUACAAUGAUUUCUUUGGCGUCAAAUAUUAAAAUGGAUUUGAAGUUUUUUCAUUUAGAAUUGAGUGAUUUGUUUCUAUGUAAAAUUAUGACUUUGAAACUGUGAACCCCCUGUAUACCAAUGGAAUCUCAGAAAAGAAAUCUGAUGGGUAUAAACUCAAUGUUAUUUUAGGAGUGGGAAGUUAUCUACAAAGAAUUACUUUGGGGCGAUGGAAACUUGAAUAUUGAACCCUGUGAUGGUUUUAAACUGAGUGAAUCUACAACAUACAAGUUGGUGUCAUUUGGAAGUGUACUUUAUUGAGGGCUAACUUCUUAGUCUAUUUAUAGCUACAGAGUGAUCAUUCACUCUCAGUCAGUAAAAAAAGUUAACAAUGAACUCUUUGGAAUGGGACCUUCGUAGCGGCUCAUAGUUUUCAUGCCACACUCUACUAUUUCCAGACUCUUGGAAAAAUCAGAAAGUCUGUUGUCAUGUAGCAGUCUCAACAAUUUGAACCACUGUUUUUCCAUUCUAUAAUCUCUCUCAAAACAUCUUUAAUACACUUUGUUAUCAAUUACUCUCCUAAAAUUAGCGAGACUACAAGUGAAAUUUCACUGUCUAGAUAUAAAUAGGGUAAGUUUGACAUAUUCCGUUUAUAUCUACAGGGUGAAAAUUCAAAUUUAGUCAUAGAUAAGUGAUUUUUUGGUAGAUCUUGCUAAUUUUAAGAGUUUAGUUGAUAGAAUGAUAAAGAACGGAACCUUUGUAGCUUCUUAUAGUUAUCAUGCCACACUUUGCUGUUUCCAAACUCUCGGAAGCAUCGGAAAGUCUGUUGUCAUGUAACUAAUCAGGGCUUCAAAUUGUUGAGACUGGUACAUCUUUAAUACACUCUAUUAUCAAUUACUCUCUUAAAAUUAACGAGACUGAAAGUGAAAUUUCACUGUCUUGAUAUAAGUAGGUUAAGUCUCAAUAGUCUGUUUAUAUAUACAGGGUGAACAUUCAGAUGUAGUCAUAGAUAAGUGAUUUUUUAUUUCAGUAAAUCUCGCUAAUUUUUAGAGACUAGUUGAUAGAACAAUCAAGAACAGAACCUUUGACUUCUUAUAGUUAUCUUGCCAUAAUUUGUUGUUUCCAGACUUCCAUUGAAAAGUCUGAUGAGGCACAAUUCAAAGCUUUAACAGUUCACAAAGUAUCAAGAUUGGAGAAAAAUUUACCGCUCACAAGUAGUUUAUGAAUCAUUCAACAAAUUGGUUGAUGAAAAAUGUGUUGCAUAUUUCUUAAAUGUGAUUCAUUUUCAUGGGUGAUUAAUGAAUGAGAAUUUACUAGGGCUUGACUUGGGGCAGCUGUAAAAAGUGAAUUUUUUCGUUGAAACACUGAACGAAUAUAUUAUUUCAUGUUAAAACCGACCUGAAUAAUUCAAAGCUGUUUGCUCCAUUUUGUUUUAGAAAAAUCAAUAGUUUUAAUUUGCCAUUUCGCUCUGUGAAUUUCAUCGAGGGUCGACUUUUCCUGUACAUAUUUUGAAUGAUAUAUCUAUUUUAUCUCGUUUUUCUUUUUUUUGUCGUUCAUUGCUUUUUGAGCCAAAGUGGUUGUUGGAGAAAUACAUUAUAUUAAUGUUGUAAAAAGAUGUUUUUGUUUUCUAUUAUAUAUUUUUAUAAACAUUGUCAUAUUUUAAAUAAACAACCAGACUGCCUCUUUUCUUGAUGA
rnacentral:lncRNA from 1 species